CUGGUAGUCCACGCGUAAACGAUGAGUGCUAAGUGUUGGAGGGUUCCGCCUUUCAGUGCUGCAGCUAACGCAUUAAGCACUCCGCUGGGGAGUACGACCGCAAGGUUGAAACUCAAAGGAAUUGACGGGGGCCCGCACAAGCGGUGGAGCAUGUGGUUUAAUUCGAAGCAACGCGAAGAACCUUACCAGGUCUUGACAUCCUUUGACCACUCUAGAGAUAGAGCUUUCCCUUCGGGGACAAAGUGACAGGUGGUGCAUGGUUGUCGUCAGCUCGUGUCGUGAGAUGUUGGGUUAAGUCCCGCAACGAGCGCAACCCUUAUUGUUAGUUGCCAUCAUUCAGUUGGGCACUCUAGCGAGACUGCCGGUGACAAACCGGAGGAAGGUGGGGAUGACGUCAAAUCAUCAUGCCCCUUAUGACCUGGGCUACACACGUGCUACAAUGGGAAGUACAACGAGUCGCUAGGCCGCGAGGUCAUGCAAAUCUCUUAAAGCUUCUCUCAGUUCGGAUUGCAGGCUGCAACUCGCCUGCAUGAAGCCGGAAUCGCUAGUAAUCGCGGAUCAGCACGCCGCGGUGAAUACGUUCCCGGGCCUUGUACACACCGCCCGUCACACCACGAAAGUUUGUAACACCCGAAGUCGGUGAGGUAACCUUUUGGAGCCAGCCGCCUAAGGUGGGAUAGAUGAUUGGGGUGAAGUCGUAACAAGGUAACCAAGGGCGAAUUCCAG
rnacentral:rRNA from 1 species